rnacentral:rRNA from 1 species
UACAGAGGGGGCAAGCGUUAUUCGGAAUUAUUGGGCGUAAAGGGCGCGUAGGCGGCUUUGCAAGUGACGGGUGAAAUCCCUCGGCUUAACCGAGGAACUGCCUGUCAAACUGCAUGGCUUGAGACCGGGAGAGGUGAGUGGAAUUCCCAGUGUAGCGGUGAAAUGCGUAGAUAUUGGGAGGAACACCAGUGGCGAAGGCGGCUCACUGGACCGGUACUGACGCUGAGGCGCGAAAGCGUGGGGAGCAAACAGG